AGCACGCGAAGAACUUACCAGGUCUUGACAUUGAUGGACAGAACUAGAGAUAGUUCCUCUUCUUCGGAAGCCAGAAAACAGGUGGUGCACGGUUGUCGUCAGCUCGUGUCGUGAGAUGUUGGGUUAAGUCCCGCAACGAGCGCAACCCCUAUCUUAUGUUGCCAGCACGUAAUGGUGGGAACUCAUGAGAGACUGCCGCAGACAAUGCGGAGGAAGGCGGGGAUGACGUCAAAUCAUCAUGCCCCUUAUGACCUGGGCUACACACGUACUACAAUGGGCUUUAAUAAAGGGAAGCGAAGUCGCGAGGCGGAGCAAACCCCAGAAACAAGCUCUCAGUUCGGAUCGUAGGCUGCAACUCGCCUACGUGAAGUCGGAAUCGCUAGUAAUCGCAGGUCAGCAUACUGCGGUGAAUACGUUCCC
rnacentral:rRNA from 1 species